GUUAAGCGACUAAGCGUACACGGUGGAUGCCUAGGCAAUCAGAGGCGAUGAAGGACGUGCUAAUCUGCGAAAAGCGUCGGUAAGGUGAUAUGAACCGUUAUAACCGACGAUGUCCGAAUGGGGAAACCCAGUGCAAUUCGUUGCACUAUCGUUUGAUGAAUCCAUAGUCAAACGAGGCGAACCGGGGGAACUGAAACAUCUCAGUACCCCGAGGAAAAGAAAUCAACCGAGAUUCCCCUAGUAGCGGCGAGCGAACGGGGAGCAGCCCAGAGUCUUAAUCAGCAUCAGCAUCAGGAGAACGGUCUGGAAAGGCCGGCAAUAAAGGGUGAUAGCCCCGUAUCCGAAGGUGUUGGUGUUGUGAACUCGACGAGUAGGGCGGGACACGUGUUAUCCUGUCUGAAUAUGGGGGGACCAUCCUCCAAGGCUAAAUACUCCUGAUUGACCGAUAGUGAACCAGUACCGUGAGGGAAAGGCGAAAAGAACCCCGGCGAGGGGAGUGAAAUAGAACCUGAAACCGUGUACGUACAAGCAGUGGGAGCCUUGAUUUAUCAGGGUGACUGCGUACCUUUUGUAUAAUGGGUCAGCGACUUAUAUUCUGUAGCAAGGUUAACCGAAUAGGGGAGCCGUAGGGAAACCGAGUCUUAACUGGGCGAAUGAGUUGCAGGGUAUAGACCCGAAACCCGGUGAUCUAGCCAUGGGCAGGUUGAAGGUUGGGUAACACUAACUGGAGGACCGAACCGACUAAUGUUGAAAAAUUAGCGGAUGACUUGUGGCUGGGGGUGAAAGGCCAAUCAAACCGGGAGAUAGCUGGUUCUCCCCGAAAGCUAUUUAGGUAGCGCCUCGUGAACUCAUCUUCGGGGGUAGAGCACUGUUUCGGCUAGGGGGUCAUCCCGACUUACCAACCCGAUGCAAACUACGAAUACCGAAGAAUGUUAUCACGGGAGACACACGGCGGGUGCUAACGUUCGUCGUGAAGAGGGAAACAACCCAGACCGCCAGCUAAGGUCCCAAAGUCAUGGUUAAGUGGGAAACGAAGUGGGAAGGCUCAGACAGCCAGGAUGUUGGCUUAGAAGCAGCCAUCAUUUAAAGAAAGCGUAAUAGCUCACUGGUCGAGUCGGCCUGCGCGGAAGAUGUAACGGGGCUAAACCAUGCACCGAAGCUGCGGCAGCGACAUGUAAAUGUUGUUGGGUAGGGGAGCGUUCUGUAAGCCUGUGAAGGUGUGCUGCGAGGCAUGCUGGAGGUAUCAGAAGUGCGAAUGCUGACAUAAGUAACGAUAAUGCGGGUGAAAAACCCGCACGCCGGAAGACCAAGGGUUCCUGUCCAACGUUAAUCGGGGCAGGGUGAGUCGACCCCUAAGGCGAGGCAGAAAUGCGUAGUCGAUGGGAAACAGGUUAAUAUUCCUGUACUGGUGAUAAUUGCGAUGGGGGGACGGAGAAGGCUAGGCUGGCCGGGCGACGGUUGUCCCGGUUUAAGGAUGUAGGUGGGUGAAUUAGGCAAAUCCGGUUCGCUAUACACUGAGGUCUGAUGACGAGUCACUACGGUGGCGAAGUAGCUCAUGCCCCGCUUCCAGGAAAAGCCUCUAAGCUCUAGAUUAUCAUUAAUCGUACCCCAAACCGACACAGGUGGUCAGGUAGAGAAUACUCAGGCGCUUGAGAGAACUCGGGUGAAGGAACUAGGCAAAAUGGUGCCGUAACUUCGGGAGAAGGCACGCUGGCAUUAGGUGAAGUGGUUUACCCAUGGAGCUGAAGCCAGUCGCAGAUACCAGCUGGCUGCAACUGUUUAUUAAAAACACAGCACUGUGCAAACACGAAAGUGGACGUAUACGGUGUGACGCCUGCCCGGUGCUGGAAGGUUAAUUGAUGGGGUUAUCCGUAAGGAGAAGCUCUUGAUCGAAGCCCCAGUAAACGGCGGCCGUAACUAUAACGGUCCUAAGGUAGCGAAAUUCCUUGUCGGGUAAGUUCCGACCUGCACGAAUGGCGUAAUGAUGGCCAGGCUGUCUCCACCCGAGACUCAGUGAAAUUGAACUCGCUGUGAAGAUGCAGUGUACCCGCGGCAAGACGGAAAGACCCCGUGAACCUUUACUAUAGCUUGACACUGAACAUUGAGCCUUGAUGUGUAGGAUAGGUGGGAGGCUUUGAAGUGUGGACGCCAGUCUGCAUGGAGCCAACCUUGAAAUACCACCCUUUAAUGUUUGAUGUUCUAACGUUGCCCCAUAAUCUGGGGUGCGGACAGUGUCUGGUGGGUAGUUUGACUGGGGCGGUCUCCUCCCAAAGCGUAACGGAGGAGCACGAAGGUUGGCUAAGCAUGGUCGGACAUCAUGCGGUUAGUGCAAAGGCAUAAGCCAGCUUGACUGCGAGAGUGACGGCUCGAGCAGGUACGAAAGUAGGUCUUAGUGAUCCGGUGGUUCUGAAUGGAAGGGCCAUCGCUCAACGGAUAAAAGGUACUCCGGGGAUAACAGGCUGAUACCGCCCAAGAGUUCAUAUCGACGGCGGUGUUUGGCACCUCGAUGUCGGCUCAUCACAUCCUGGGGCUGAAGUAGGUCCCAAGGGUAUGGCUGUUCGCCAUUUAAAGUGGUACGCGAGCUGGGUUUAGAACGUCGUGAGACAGUUCGGUCCCUAUCUGCCGUGGGCGUUGGAAGAUUGAAAGGGGCUGCUCCUAGUACGAGAGGACCGGAGUGGACGCACCGCUGGUGUUCGGGUUGUCAUGCCAAUGGCACUGCCCGGUAGCUAAGUGCGGAAGAGAUAACCGCUGAAAGCAUCUAAGCGGGAAACUUGCCUUGAGAUGAGUCUUCCCUGACUCUUUAAGGGUCCUAAAGGAACGUUUAAGACGAAGACGUUGAUAGGCUGGGUGUGUAAGCGUAGCGAUACGUUGAGCUAACCAGUACUAAUGAACCGUGAGGCUUAACC
rnacentral:rRNA from 1 species